rnacentral:rRNA from 1 species
UACGUAGGGUGCGAGCGUUAAUCGGAUUUACUGGGCGUAAAGGGGGCGUAGGCGGCCGUGAAAGUCCGGUGUGAAAACUCACGGCUCAACCGUGGGACUGCGCUGGAAACUACACGGCUUGAGGACGGUAGAGGGAGACGGAACUGCUGGUGUAGGGGUGAAAUCCGUAGAUAUCAGCAGGAACGCCGGUGGAGAAGUCGGUCUCCUGGGCCGUUCCUGACGCUGAGGCCCGAAAGCUAGGGGAGCAAACCGG